CCCUUAGAUGUUCUGGGCUGCACGUGCGCUACACUGAUGCAUUCAACGAGCUUUCGAUCUUGCCCGAGAGGGUUGGAUAAUCUUUUUAAAGUGCAUCGUGAUGGGGAUAGAUUAUUGCAAUUAUUAAUCUUCAACGAGGAAUGCCUAGUAGGCGCAAGUCAUCAGCUUGCGUCGAUUACGUCCCUGCCCUUUGUACACACCGCCCGUCGCUCCUACCGAUUGGGUGUGCUGGUGAAAUGUUCGGAUCGGCCGUUUGUCGCGGUUUCCGCGUCAUGUGGCUGAGAAGUUCAUUAAACCCUCCCCCCUAGAGGAAGGAGAAGUCGUAACA
rnacentral:rRNA from 1 species